CUCUGGGAAGGGGACGCCACGCUCCUUCUGCGCAUGUGCAGCCGUAGCCUCCUCGUUCGUCUUCUCAGGACUCCAGAGAACCGUUGGGGAACUUUGGGGUGUGCUCGGAAAAUGCAGGAGCUUCAGAGCAGAGACAAGAGCCCAGAAAGGAGCAGAUGCUAGAUUUGCAAGAUCAGAAGCAGGUCUUGAUCCUCCUGCCCAGAAUGAACCAGACUUGAUGAUGAUGCCACCUUCAGGAGCCACCACACUGUGUGACAGUGGGGCAUUUGGGCCGUCCCUGGGAAGUACAGAUGCGCUGCUGUCACACAUUGUGGUGGCUCCUGAAGGUGGCAUCAUCAUCAAGUCUGGUUCAUUCUGGGCAGGAGGAUCAAGACCUGCUUCUGAUCUUGCAAAUCUAGCAUCUGCUCCUUU
rnacentral:lncRNA from 1 species